rnacentral:misc_RNA from 1 species
CUCGUCUAUUGCGUGCGAUCUAAUCUAGCAGUUCUCAGAACAGAUACUCACAAACCCUAAUACCUCUCGAAUUUCUUUUCAAUAAUCAGAUCAAUUCCUAAAUCAGAUAUCUUCUUUGACAAAUGAUUGCGGUCUCUGUAAAGCCAUUGUUCAUCGCCAUCUUCACUCUCUCUCUCUUCCUCGCCGGCAUUUUGCUCUCUCCUUCGACGCUAUUUUCUUCGAGCCUAGUUUCCCCUUCAUAUUCAUCCGCAGGGAAAUUGGAUAUAUGGAGUGUUAGAAGGGUUGUGGAAUGGAGGCCUUGCGGGUGGUGGCUUCAAGGACACCUUACUGACAAUUGCAUUGGUUUUUUGUUGAAAUCCUGCAGCUCUACCAGCAGAGAAUAAUGGAUAUAUCCGUGUGGAUUGCUAUGGUGGCCUCAAUCAGAUGAGACGAGAUUUCUGUGAUGGUGUUGGCAUUGCCCGUUUGUUAAAUGCAACACUGGUGUUGCCAAAGUUUGAAGCUGCUGCAUAUUGGAAUGAAUCAAGUGGCUUUGCAGAUGUAUUUGAUGUUGAUUACUUCAUUCAACAUAUAAAUGGCUUUGUUAAAGUCGUUAAAGAAUUGCCUCCAGAUAUAGCAUCAAAAGAACCUUUUCAGGUAGACUGUAGCAAACGGAAAGGCCAAUUUGAUUAUAUCGAGAGUGUUCUUCCGUCCCUGUUGGAACACCAUUAUAUUUCAAUUACACCGGCAAUGAGCCAACGAAGGGACAGGUAUCCAAAAUAUGCAAAAGUUGCACUUUGUCAAGCUUGUUACAGUGCAUUACGCCUUACAAGAUCCUUGGAAAAGAAAGCUUCAGAACUUCUGGAAGCUAUACCAAAACCCUUCCUCUCACUUCACCUUCGAUUUGAACCGGAUAUGGUAGCAUACAGCCAAUGUGAAUACUCAGGCCUUUCUCCUACCUCCAUGGAAGCCAUUAAAGCUGCAAGGGGAGAUAGAAAACCAUGGACUGGAGAGUUGGCCCGUAUUUGGAGAAAACGGGGAAAGUGUCCCUUAACGCCUAGUGAGACGGCCCUCAUACUUCAGGCACUUUCUGUUCCUACAAACACAAAUAUAUAUCUUGCAGCUGGGGAUGGCCUAAUGGAAAUUGAAGGGUUAACAUCUGUAUACACCAAUGUUUAUGUAAAGUCUGCUCUUCUUGGCGGUGAGGAUUUCACAAGCAUGCAUGGGAAUACAAAAGCUGCAUUGGAUUAUUAUGUAUCUAUCAAUAGCGACUCAUACAUGGCUACUUAUUUUGGUAACAUGGAUAAGAUGGUUGCUGCUAUGCGAGCUUAUAAGGGCCUGUAUAAAACCCUAUUCUUAAGUCGAAGAGCUUUUGCAGAGCUCACUUUUCAAGGCUUGAAAGGGAAGGAGUUGAUGCAAGCCUUGUGGACAGCUCACAAAGGAGAUUUUAUCAUGGGAAGAGGGUCUGCUUUGCCCGACUGCUUUUGUGAAUUUAAAUUGUAACUUCAUCUUUUAUGUCUUUUUUUUUUUUAAUUGUUUUUCCCGUCCUGGUUUAGUGAUAUAGUUUCUUUUGUAUCUGAUAUCAUGCUUGUUGCUGUUCCCUUUUGGAAAGUCUGGUGGACAGCAGGAAGCCAUUUUUUGAAGUCCUUGGAGAUUGAUUAAAACAGAAAAUAAUCGAUUACCUACUUCAAGCAAUAAUGUUGGUUGGAUAACGUUAUGGAAAAUAUUUUCUCAUAGGAAAUUUUGGUUAUGCUUCUACUGAUACGGUGAACACAACGGUGCUUGUUUUUCUCCUGGCGAUGAAGCUUUUGGCUCUGGUGACCGUGACAGCUUUAAUUAGCAGAGAAGUUUAUGGAGAUAUUGGCACUGUAACAUCUUAUGACUCUCUACAUUCGUGUGGAUAUUGCGCCUUUUAUUUUAUUAUUUGAAUGUUGCAAACUUGCAAUGCUUUUAAAAUGAUAAUAGUCGAAGUUGAAAUCAUGAAGAAUUCCCUUUUAAAGGUCUUGUUAUUGUAAAUAUAUUUAGG